ACAUUAAAUAUGAAAAUGUAGAACCAGUUUUAGAACCUUCAUAUGAUGAUGGAAAAACGGUGAUAGUGACUUGCCACACAGGUUUUUACUGGCAUGUACAAAUUAAGAUGUGAAGAUGGAAAAUGGAGAGAAACAUGCGCGACCAUGUGAAAAGAAAAAGUGCGGUCAUCCAGGGACACCGCAAAUGGCAAUUUUAUAAUUUCAGUGGGGAUUGAGUAUGUAUUUGGAACAACGGUGGUGUAUACCUUGCCAGGAAGGGUAUGAAAUGACAAGCAGAAUCAAUCACCGUACAUGGCAGAUCUCAAGGAUGGGACAAUGCUGUCCCUGUGUGUGAAUGGUAUGCUUUUUUCUCAC